rnacentral:rRNA from 1 species
GCUAGUCGCACGAGUUCAGACUCGUGGCGAAUAGCUCAGUAACACGUGGCCAAACUACCCUUCGGAACACAAUACCCUCGGGAAACUGAGGCUAAUAGUGUAUACCAUACCACCACUGGAAUGAGUGGUAUGCCCAAACGCUCCGGGCGCCGAAGGGAUGUGGCUGCGGCCGAUUAGGUAGACGGUGGGGUAACGGCCCACCGUGCCAAUAAUCGGUAUGGGUCAUGAGAGUGAGAACCCAGAGACGGAAUCUGAGACAAGAUUCCGGGCCCUACGGGGCGCAGCAGGCGCGAAACCUUUACACUGCACGACAGUGCGAUAGGGGGAUCCCAAGUGCACAGGCAUAGCGCCUGUGCUUUUCGGUACCGUAAGGUGGUACCAGAAUAAGGGCUGGGCAAGACCGGUGCCAGCCGCCGCGGUAAUACCGGCAGCCCAAGUGAUGGCCGAUCUUAUUGGGCCUAAAGCGUCCGUAGCUGGCCGCGCAAGUCCAUCGGGAAAUCCACCUGCUCAACAGGUGGGCGCCCGGUAGAAACUGCGUGGCUUGGGACCGGAAGGCGCGACGGGUACGUCCGGGGUAGGAGUGAAAUCCCGUAAUCCUGGACGGACCGCCGAUGGCGAAAGCACGUCGCGAGGACGGAUCCGACAGUGAGGGACGAAAGCCAGGGUCUCGAACCGGAUUAGAUACCCGGGUAGUCCUGGCCGUAAACAAUGUCUGCUAGGUGUGGCUCCCACUACGAGUGGGUGCUGUGCCGUAGGGAAGCCGCUAAGCAGACCGCCUGGGAAGUACGUCCGCAAGGAUGAAACUAAAGG